rnacentral:rRNA from 1 species
GCGUAAAGGGCUCGCAGGCGGUUUCUUAAGUCUGAUGUGAAAGCCCCCGGCUCAACCGGGGAGGGUCAUUGGAAACUGGGGAACUUGAGUGCAGAAGAGGAGAGUGGAAUUCCACGUGUAGCGGUGAAAUGCGUAGAGAUGUGGAGGAACACCAGUGGCGAAGGCGACUCUCUGGUCUGUAACUGACGCUGAGGAGCGAAAGCGUGGGGAGCGAACAGGAUUAGAUACCCUGGUAGUCCACGCCGUAAACGAUGAGUGCUAAGUGUUAGGGGGUUUCCGCCCCUUAGUGCUGCAGCUAACGCAUUAAGCACUCCGCCUGGGGAGUACGGUCGCAAGACUGAAACUCAAAGGAAUUGACGGGGGCCCGCACAAGCGGUGGAGCAUGUGGUUUAAUUCGAAGCAACGCGAAGAACCUUACCAGGUCUUGACAUCCUCUGACAAUCCUAGAGAUAGGACGUCCCCUUCGGGGGCAGAGUGACAGGUGGUGCAUGGUUGUCGUCAGCUCGUGUCGUGAGAUGUUGGGUUAAGUCCCGCAACGAGCGCAACCCUUGAUCUUAGUUGCCAGCAUUCAGUUGGGCACUCUAAGGUGACUGCCGGUGACAAACCGGAGGAAGGUGGGGAUGACGUCAAAUCAUCAUGCCCCUUAUGACCUGGGCUACACACGUGCUACAAUGGACAGAACA